rnacentral:lncRNA from 1 species
AUUCUUUUAAUUAGUGCAAUCAAUAACAGCAGUUUUAAAACUCCAUUUAAGAAAGGAAAGCAAAAGUUGUAGUUUUUGUGGAAAAAAAGAAGUUUGUCACAAUUCAGCAAUUAAUCUUACAUAGUUUAAUAUGGAAAUGAUUUUUAAAGCACCAUGACACUUGUUGCAAACAUUUUCUUUUGAUAACACCUCACAAUCACACUUAAAAAUUAUAUUUUUGUCCUCAGAGGGACAAUUACAAGAUCAACAUUACACAAAUCAUUAUAUCCCUGUUUUAUGAUUGGUUUUGCUUUUCCAAUAUUAACAAUUUUUAGGACCCUUUUUAGAAAGGAGGAAAAAGAACAGUGGAAUAUUUUAGAGUGAUUUUUAUAAUCCCUGAUUUAAUUCUGUUGAAGUUCCUCCAUUAGCUAAAGAUGGAAAUUGUCCUUCUCACUGUUUUUGUCAAGAUCUUUUAUUUCAUCAUUAGUUGCAAAUUGUCAUCCAUUUACCAAGCCUAGAAAAAAUUAUUUAAAAGAAAUGUUUGACAUUUGAGAUUAUUCAGAGAAAAAGAGACAUACAUUUAACAAUAUAUGUGUCUUCUAAAGGAGAUUAUGCAGAUAGUUAGGGAACAAGACAGUAAAGCCCUUCCAGAUUUUUAUACUUUUUAAUCUUG